rnacentral:tRNA from 12 species
GAGCCAUUAGCUCAGUCGGUAGAGCAUCUGACUUUUAAUCAGAGGGUCGAAGGUUCGAGUCCUUCAUGGCUCAUCA